rnacentral:rRNA from 1 species
CCUACGGGAGGCAGCAGUGGGGAAUAUUGGACAAUGGGCGAAAGCCUGAUCCAGCAAUUCCGCGUGUGUGAAGAAGGCCUUCGGGUUGUAAAGCACUUUAGGUUGGGAAGAAAAAGCUUCGGUGAAUAUCCGGAGUGUUGACGGUACCAACAGAAUAAGCACCGGCUAACUCUGUGCCAGCAGCCGCGGUAAUACAGAGGGUGCAAGCGUUAAUCGGAUUUACUGGGCGUAAAGCGUGCGCAGGUGGUUUCGUAAGUCGGAUGUGAAAGCCCCGGGCUCAACCUGGGAACUGCGUUCGAUACUGCGAGACUAGAGUUUGGUAGAGGGUGGCGGAAUUCCCGGUGUAGCGGUGAAAUGCGUAGAUAUCGGGAGGAACAUCAAUGGCGAAGGCAGCCACCUGGGCCUGAACUGACACUGAGGCACGAAAGCGUGGGUAGCAAACAGGAUUAGAUGCCCUGGUAGUCCACGCCGUAAACGAUGAGAACUUGACGUUGGUUCGUUUUACGAAUCGGUGUCGUAGCUAACGCGAUAAGUUCUCCGCCUGGGGGNGGUACGGCGCGAGUAGAACGACAANAGAGUAGUAGCGUGAGAGUGCGACGACGACGACGAGGGAGGAGG